AACGCACAGACGUUUUAUACGAACGAUAAUAUCGACUUUUACGAUAUAUACUACCUUCUUAUCUCGAAAUUCUCCUUUUAUCUAUCGAGAUUACGCGUUUGAUAUAAACCGAGUAGAAUCGUGCGAAGUGCCGUGGAAAUAAAAACUAAACUUUAAGUAAAAACGGGCCGUACGAUUACGAAUAAUGUGGGUCAAAACACGCGAGUUAAUUGUCCGUAACGGACCGCGCAUAUAUGCGCUCUAUUGUUGUGUUCUGCGCCUCAGAACAGUCGUGAUAUGUGGCUACGACAAGAAAUCAAUUCAUUGUUGGUUAUCAAAGAGGAAGAGAGAAAGAAAGAAAGAGAGAGAGAGAGAGAGAGAGAGAGAGAAGAGUUGGGUUGAUAGGGACACGUAGUUCGUUUACGUUGCAUUAAAUUAAAUUACAUUGCACUAAUUUCGUUUUUUUGGUUUGCGAUUUGGAACAAUGGUAUUCCGUUUUUACCACCCACGAACAAUUCUAAGAACGACCGUCGAGAAUAAAUGUACACGUGAAAAAACUUUUCAAUUUGAUUCAAACCAACAAUCUCUUUCGUCGCUGCCCGAGGGACUUCGAGGUGAUUUCGAGGAAACCGAGAAAGAAACGUGCUAGUAUACUGCUCCAAUUAGUAUGAUACCGAUGUUCUUCAAUGUCUUUUGUCGCACGCAUCUAGACGCCUGAGUCUCAAAGACGAGGGAACACGCAACAAAUUAGCAAUUAGUAGCAGAAUAAUUGGUGGGAUCCCAAGUGUUAGGUACUAUCUUUUCCUCUCUUCUUCUCUCUCUCUCUCUCUUUCUCUCUGUGUUUCUCUCUUUUUCAUAAGAUGAAAUACGAGCUUGAGAAUGCUAGAAUAUGUUUCGUUUUCAACGUCGGUAACGUCGACGAUUGGCUGGUUGAUAUUUGUUCCUUUUUUACGAAUAAAAAAGAAAAGAGACAACGUUUGCAAUUCUGAUGUCCUUACCUCGCUACUCUGUAAGUAAAGAUUAAAAGAGAAGAAGGAGGAAGAGGACAUGCUACACGCAGCAGUAUGCGUAGAUCGUAUUUCGUAUACGACCCUCGAAACUUGGCGGAACGAAUACACGCGUGCUCUUUCAUCGCUUCGUUGAACUUUGUCUUACUUUCCUUCAAUGUUGAACAGUACAUUCUGCUGUUCUUCUUUUUCCUUACUUCUCCGUAGAUUCAGGAAGAGAAUUCUCGAGCAUAUCCAACGAGUUUGCAUUUACCUGUUCGCGUUAAUCUGAUCAGAAAAAAAUUUUUUAUAAGAAGGACGAAGGAACGAACGAACGAACGAACGAAUGGGAGCAACGAUCGAACGAAAGGUUUAUAUUAUAUACAUACAUAUGUACGUAUAUAUAUCAAACUCGAGCCAAGAGAUCAACUCGCCAUGAUGGUCCUCCUUCGAUGGAUGUUUCUCUUUUAGAGAUUAAUUUUAUCUACCUCGCUAAGUCAGCGGAGUAACACGAUAGCGGAAGUAUAUAUAUACAUCUAUACAUACAGAGAAUAUACCAUACAUACGUAAGUACUACGUGUUUGCCUGUAUACAUGUGUGCGCUCGUGCGCUCGAGUAAUAUUAAUCGCUAUGAGAAUUUCUUCUUUUAAAUAACGUUUUAAACUUUGCCAAUUAACGUUCUCCAUUUUCACUCGGAGGAAUAAUAUUACCUGAAACUUUUAUAACAUUUUCUCUCUCUCUCUCUCUCUCUCUCUCUCUCUCUCUCUCUCUCUCUCUCUCUCUGUAUGUACGUGCAUGAGAGAAAAGAGAGAGAGAGAGAGAGACAUGGGACACAGAUAGAUGUUCGAAAUAGACGAAAUUUCUUCAUUGUUGCUCGAUCAUUUUACUUGUUUUUAUGGAAUAUAUUUUUAAAAAAAGAAGAUAUAUAUUAUAUAUAUUAUAUUAUAUAUAGAAAGAGAGAGAGAGAGAGAGAGAGAGUGUGUGAAGAUAUGGAACACAAGGGAUUCUUUGUUACGAUUUAUUCCAAGGAAGCCCUAAUCUUUCGUCCUCGAGUGAAACUCGCUUUCGGCACACUCCGAGGUCCGUUUCCCACGGUGCGGCAGGUAACACGAAACGUUUUCCCCGUAAUAUGGCUCUCUCUCUCUCUCUCUUUCUCACUUCGUGCUUCUUUCGUCCUUUCUCUCUCUCUCUCUCUCUUUCUCUCUCUUCCUCUUAUACUCUCGCUUUACCAGACGAUACCGUGCUAUAUACGACGACGGGUCCAUGAAAUCGAAAGAGCAGCUCCUCUCUACCCUUUUUACCAGCUAAGAGAAAGGAUUACGAGCACGAGAUUCGAGAAACUGCUCGACCGAGACGAUCUUACCUUCCUUUUUUUUUCUCUUUUUCUUUUCUUCUGUUUUCUUU